rnacentral:rRNA from 1 species
AGUAACACGUAAACAACCUGCCUUAAGGAUGGGGGUAACAGACGGAAACGACUGCUAAUACCGAAUACGUUCUAAGCAUCGCAUGAUGCAUAGAAGAAAGGGUGGCCUCUACAAGAAAGCUAUCGCCUUAAGAGGGGUUUGCGACUGAUUAGGUAGUUGGUGGGGUAACGGCCUACCAAGCCGACGAUCAGUAGCCGACCUGAGAGGGUGACCGGCCACAUUGGGACUGAGACACGGCCCAA